GCACGGUGGCGCAGUGGUUAGUGCUGUCGCCUAACAGCAAGAGGCUCGUGAGUUCGAAUCUGGCCUGGGGCC